GUGGCCUCUAGAAACUGGAAAAGCCAAGGGAACAGAUUCACCCCUAGAGCCUCCCUCCAGAAAGGAAUGCCAUCCUGCUGACACUUGGAUCUUAGUCCACCAAGACCUGUGUAAGACUUCUAACCUACAGAACUCUAAGAUGAUAUAUUUGUGCUUUACAAGCUGUUAAGUUCGUGGCCAUGUGCUACAGCAGCAAUACAAAACUAAUACAGUCUACGAAAUAUUUCCUUUAUUUCUCUACACUCCAGACUUCCUCUGCUGAGCAAGGCUGGGGUGUGAAAGUCAGCAUGCCUUCCAGAUGCCCAGGGAGCUGGGACCACUCUGCAACUGGAUGGAUGGUUUUAGGAAUUCCUCAGCGAGGAGCCUGGCAAGAUGCCUGUCUUGCAACAGAAGUGCCUUCAUCAUUUCUUCAUCAGCCGGAGAAGCCAUAUUUGAAUAGUGGAAGACCUUUGUAAAUCGGGGUCACCAUAUAAAUAGAUACAUUUGUCAUCAUUUACACCCAGACUAUUCUUUAGGAAAACAACAUAAGAGAAAUGAAUCUCGUGGCAGGAACUCAAACUUGCUUAACAACAAAUGCUCCGAGGGGUUUCUCAACUUAACUUGUAUCUAAAGAUAAGAUACUACAAGAUAAGAGAGGCAGGUCAAAGACAAUCUGAACAAGGACUGACUUAGACAAGUGAGUACCUACUAUGUGCGACGCAGAGAGCUGAACACUGACAAGGCACUGUCUCAACUGGUCCUCGUGACAUUUUCAUCAGGAAACUACUACGAUCAUUACCACUGAUCAUUUACCCACCCACGUUCUCAAAAACAGUAAAUAAACGGACUGGGGUCCAAUCGACUCUGCCAGCCUCCACAGAGGGGACCCUAAAGACACAUCAUGCUAACACCUGCCCCUCCACAUCAAGGCAUGGCUCAACAGGACAUCAACCCUAGACCAGAAUGCCCAAGAGAAGACAGAGUACCAGCUUCGUUCCAAUGAUCUAGGCAUGCAAACAUCUAACCUCACCUCUCCAACAUACUCCUGCAGCUUUGAAACACUUUUCAUUCAUCUCAACAGCCAGACUAUCAAAAAGAGGAUCUCCCCUUCUCAGUUAUUCUUUUGUCUCUUAUGUUCUACUGAUCGUUUCUUCCAGGAAUUUGUGUUCUAAAAAAAAUAAAUAAACAAAGAGCCUGCUUCUAUGAGAUGGGCAUGCUGCUGCUUUAUAAAGGGGAUCUGUUAAGGCUCAGGAAGAAGCCAUUAUUACAUGUAACCUCACUUCUCCCCUCUUCUGGGUGAAGACCCACUGAUUUCACAAAACAGCAUCUAACAUGGGUGGGUAUUUUCUCAUUCUGGGAAUUUCUACGUAAGAUUUCAUUCUAAAUAAAGUUCUUAGCUCUAAAACUGCACCAUAAUGAAAUAAAAAAGCAGGUAAAUCUAAGAGCAGUCCCUUUCUCUUGCUUGCAUUUCUCACUUCAGUACAGGAAACUGGUUUCAGUCACUCUAAGAAAACCUCAUGUUCCCCAAAGGGGUUGUUUUCUCCCCCAGUUAUAUAAUUUUUUAAAACAAAACUGCAAGCUGGCCCUGCAUUUUAGUCCACAAGCCGGUGAAAAGAAGAUAUCUGGGGUCUGAAACACAUUUUCCAAAAAACAAUGUCAUUCAUGGUGGGGCCCAUUUCCAGAAUGACCCACAAAACUCUUCCAAACUCAGAGUGUGGAUUAAAUACUAUACAUCGGCUGUAAGAUCUGAUGCCUUGCAGCAUUACUUAAAGGCAGUCAAGUUCUAUACAGUGCUUAUUGUCUCUCAAGGAAAGCAAUUCUGAUAAGAUCGAGGAAAACAGAUUUGGGGGCAAUCUGAAAGACAGUUUUGGGCUUUAACAAUUGAUACAGUGUUCUCACUCAGGUUUAACUUCACUUCCAAAAAAGUCAUGGUUCCUUUUUCCUCCAAAUGGCUGCGUAUCUGCCUCUCUUCUUAUGCUUAUUAGUGAUGAGGUCAUUGGCUGGGAUUACUGUAGCCGACAGACAGAGCCACAUGUGACGGAGGACAGUCCAGUGUCUAACGAGCCAGCUGCAGGUGGAGAAUGGCAGAGAAGCGGGGUCAGGGUUUUGGGUAAGCGAUGACUACGGACUGUUCCCAGAGGAGAAAGAAGAUGGUGGUGGCCAGGUGUCACCUGUCACCUCACAAAGUCUACCUGCUUGACCCCUGCUGCUCUAAUAUCUGCAGGGACAGGAGAGCUUUGGGAACAGGACGGACAGCCAAACAGCUGCCGGUAAAGUAGGAUCAAGUGUCAGAGCAGCGGUCGUUGGAGUCCUAUAUCCGCAGGGAGAGAAUUAACUACCAGGACUUAGACAAUUUCAAUCGCAUACACACACAUCAUCUCUGCUCUGACAGGAGCUCUCAGCCACAAGAGGAACAACAAUCGGAUCCUAUGAGAGCACCACCAACCGCCAUGCAUCUCACACAUGGUCAUUUUAACUGCCACGGGCCACAGGCAGACCACAGCCCCAGACCACCAGAGCCCCCACAGGGUUGGCAAACUAACCUGGAAGCAUCACUAAGCUAAAAACCAUCUCUCCUGCUUCUAAUAUCAAGCAAGUUGAAGAUUCCUUCUGGACACAGGAAAUGGUGUGGUCUAUAGGAAAGGGCAUUGGCUCGGGAUAAAGAAGUCCAGACUUUCACCUCACCUUUAUUGUUCAUCAGUCCUGUGACUCUUGGCAAGCCAGUCAGUCACUGCAGUCUGUGGAGUAGCCACUGGACCCCUAAAGACUAUUCUAAUAUUUACUGAUUCAAAGGCAUGAUUCACAGAGGAAAAAAGUAUUCCACGGGAUCUGGAAAGUUUGACGCAAUUAAACUCUCUGACUAAGGAAGGGGAGUGGGGUAGAAAACAGGUAAUCAUGUCACCCAUGAACUUUCUCGCUACAAAGUCUGGACAUGAUCGACAACAUCUCCUACAGAGCAACCAUUAAACUUUGUGGACCUAUCACGGAAAUCACAAAAGCAAUUUUCCACCAUUAUAAGUAAGCUGUCUCACUCCCUGGUCAAGCAGUUGAUAACAAAUAAAUGUGUAUCAAAUAUUUUGAACAAAUCUUCAAGGUUGAAAAUGUGGACUAAAAGAAUUCCGCAGGACUUCCCUGAUGGUCCGGUGGUUAAGAAUCUGUGUACUAAUGCAGGGGACACAGGUUUGAUCCUUGAUCUGGGAACAUCCCACACGCCACGAGGCAGCUGAGCCCGUGAGCCGCAACCACUGAAGCCUGCACUCUAGAACCCAUGCUCCGCAACGAGAGAAGCUACUGCGAUGAGAAGCUCACACACCCCACUGCAUCCAAGCGCAGUCCCCAAUUACCACAACUAGAGAAAGCCUGAGGACAGCAACAAAGACCAGCAUGGCCACAAAUAAUAAAAUUU